rnacentral:rRNA from 1 species
CCUACGGGUGGCAGCAGUGGGGAAUGUUGCGCAAUGCUCGUAAGAGUGACGCAGCGACGCCGCGUGAAUGACGAAGGCCUUCGGGUCGUAAAGUUCUUUCGACAGGGAAGAAAAUGCAGAUAAGUAACUGUGUAUGUAUGGACGGUACCGGUAGAAGCAGCCCCGGCUAACUCCGUGCCAGCAGCCGCGGUAAUACGGAGGGGGCGAGCGUUGUGCGGAGUGACUGGGCGUAAAGAGCACGUAGGCGGUGUUGUAAGUCAUUAGUCAAAGACUCGAGCUCAACUUUAGUACGGCUAGUGAUACUCUCAUACUAGUGUAUCCGAGAGGCUUGCCGCAUUCCUGGUGUAGCGGU